rnacentral:rRNA from 1 species
ACUCCUACGGGAGGCAGCAGUGGGGAAUAUUGCACAAUGGGGGGAACCCUGAUGCAGCGACGCCGCGUGAGUGAAGAAGUCAUUCGUGAUGUAAAGCUCUAUCAGCAGGGAAGAAAAUGACGGUACCUGACUAAGAAGCCCCGGCUAACUACGUGCCAGCAGCCGCGGUAAUACGUAGGGAGCGAGCGUUGUCCGGAUUUACUGGGUGUAAAGGGUGAGCAGGCGGCUCUGCAAGUCAGGCGUGAAAGCUAGGGGCUCAACCCCUAAACUGCGCUUGAAACUGUGGAGCUUGAGUGAAGUAGAGG